AUGAAUGCUCAGUCAGUGGAGUUUGUGUUGGGGAUUCCUUCAAGGGAAACAAUCAUAAACACUAAAGAAGAAGAGGCUGGCAAACAAGCUUUUCUUGCGCUUUUUGGGUUGACAGAAGUCCCAACAAUCAAAUUCUUUGGCAAUAAGCUGAUGAACGAAGAUAUGUCUGACGACCAGAUCAUCCGUUGUUUCCUGGUUGUGGCAUUAUCAACAUUCUUCUGCCCGACAUCAAGCACUAAACCAAGCACCAAAUAUAUGGGAGCUCUAGUUAAUGUGGAGCAACUCAAGCAACUAAAUUGGUGCAUGUUUGUUCACGAUUGGGAGUUGAUGUAUAUAAAGAAAUACCAAAAGGAAAAGCUGAAGCAGAACCGAACAAUGAUGACUCUAGGAGGAUGUAUAUACCACCUAGCAGUCUGUUGCCUUGAUUUUACUGAUUUUCGCUCAAUUCAAAUCCCAUCUUUGAUGCCCAGGAUAUGUGUUUGGAAGGGAGAUAUGGUCAAGCAUUUAAGUGACAUGACCAUUGGAAGAGAUGGAAAGUAUGGAUGUCUGACAAUAAAAGAAGUAUCAGAAACCUGCUAUAAGGAUGGAACUUUUGAGUGGGCAAGUACGAUUAAGAAUUCAAAUUUCAGGAAAGCGAUAAACAAUGUUGCAGGGAAUUCUUUGUCUGACAAGGUCAAAGAGGAUAUCUUCCUCGCUUACGAAAACCAUAUGAAGAAUGAAGACCUAAAUACUUGCAUCAAAGCUAAAGGGCUUCUUCUAGACACGAUCCGCAUCAUAACCAAUGCCUCUGGUGAAUCAGGUGAUACAGUUAAAGUGGGCUCAACAGGAACUGAAUUGAAUGCAAGCCAACAAUCUAACAACUCAGGAGACACUGUCAAACUACAAUCGACUGAACUUCAAGAGGAAAAUGACAGAGGGCAUCUGGUGCAAAGGAAAAGAAGGAAAACGAAUGUUCUAUCAACUAGCCAACAGUCUGCUGGUUCUUCUGUAUCAAAAACAAAUGCUGGAAAAGGGAGCACAAAUGAAGCUGAUGGGUUUUGUAGCAGCCCUCCUAAAGUCCAUGAAAUAGGCAAGCUGAAGUCUGACUCUGAAGCACAAUGUCAAAGAGAGCAUUCCUCAAAGGACCCCAUGACGGAAAUGUGUGCUCCAGCGACAUCAACUUUCGCUCCAGGAAACCAUGUAGAUGGAGGAGGAGGAUAG
rnacentral:rRNA from 1 species